rnacentral:tRNA from 1 species
GGUUGUGGCUCAAUGGUAGAAUGCUUGCCUGGUAUGUGUGAAGCACUGGGUUCGAGCCUCAGCACCA